GAACGGUAGCACAGAGAGCUUGCUCUUGGGUGACGAGUGGCGGACGGGUGAGUAAUGUCUGGGAAACUGCCCGAUGGAGGGGGAUAACUACUGGAAACGGUAGCUAAUACCGCAUAACGUCUUCGGACCAAAGUGGGGGACCUUCGGGCCUCACACCAUCGGAUGUGCCCAGAUGGGAUUAGCUAGUAGGUGGGGUAAUGGCUCACCUAGGCGACGAUCCCUAGCUGGUCUGAGAGGAUGACCAGCCACACUGGAACUGAGACACGGUCCAGACUCCUACGGGAGGCAGCAGUGGGGAAUAUUGCACAAUGGGCGCAAGCCUGAUGCAGCCAUGCCGCGUGUAUGAAGAAGGCCUUCGGGUUGUAAAGUACUUUCAGCGGGGAGGAAGGCGAUGAGGUUAAUAACCUUAUCGAUUGACGUUACCCGCAGAAGAAGCACCGGCUAACUCCGUG
rnacentral:rRNA from 1 species